GGACGUACUUUAACCUCAACGUAGCCGUGAGUAGCUAUUAAUAAGAGUUACGUAUGUUGUCGUCCUUUAACGUACGUUCCCCAGUACUAAUUAACUAUGACGACCACUACGUUAAAGUAUGUUGUACUAUGUUACCCACUACUCCCAAGUACAUUAUAGAACGAUCAAAUAGGCUAAACUUCGUGCACGGUAGAUUCAAGUACAUUUUAACUCGGAAAUUACCGUUGGUGUUUAGCACGUUAACUACGUUAUUAACGGCUAAAAAGAACCAGACACAUACAAUAUAACUGAAUAAAAACAUUUGUUUUAAUACGAAAAGGACCAAUAAAAAUGUAAUUGUAGUGGAAUAUGAAGGAUUUUAUAUUCAAGAAACGGAAUAAUAUCGCCCCAUAUGUUGAUAAAGCUCUAAAAGACAUAAUCUGUUCAUAUUACAUUUUCUGAAAAUUAAUUACCACCAAAACACUUAAAAGUACUGCGACAGGCACAUUUUGCAAAAAUGCACCCUGUGUAGAGCUUUCAACUACCCAUGUUUGUCUGCAUUCUGUUAAAUAACACCAGUGUAUCAGCGAUAUCAAAAAUCCAGGCAUUUCAAUACAAGUGCAUGUGACGAUUCUACAGUUCAAUAAAGCCUGGAUAAAGAUACGUUAAAAUGAUAUACAUUUCCCUCUUUUCAAUUGUUUGGCAAAAUUCUCAUUAUAUACUGAACAUUUUUUGUAAGACAAACGGUGGCUGCAGUUCAAAGAGAACUUGAUCCAGAAGGUGUCCGACUUCGGCAACAUCGCCAGUUCACACGUAGAAUCUACAUCAAUAAAGGACCCAAUUACUUGGUGCAUAUCGAUGGAUACGAUAAGCUGAAGCCGUACGGUUUUCCCAUCCACGGGGCAAUAUGUGGAUUUUCUAGAAAAAUACUUCGGCUGAAAGUUGCCAGAUCUAACAACGAUCCAAAAAUUGUAGCGACCUUCUUUCUGGAGUAUUUAAAUGCUAUAAAUGAGAAUGCGUGCGUUUCUGCUUCAUUGACAUAAUACAGAAAGAGCUUGACCGAGUGCGAAUGGAAUGGAAUCAACAUGCAAUACGGAGAAAUGGACCUGAAGACUCCCCAAGCGGGAAACCAGACCUCAUGUACUAUAUGCCCGAGUUGUUUGGUGGUGUUGAUUACAAGGUUACGUUGAACCAGAGAGACCUUGAUCAAGUGUCAUCAGAAUUCUGUUAUGCGGGGCAUAAGCGAAACAGAAGCACAGUUUGAACGGGAAAUAAGACGAAAACAUUUGCGCAUGCCAGUUACAGCUGAUGAAGCAAUAGAAGUAUUUGGUGCCUUAAAUCCCGCUGUUUAGAACCAAACAACAGAACAUCAUUGUACUACAUAGUCACCCAGCAUACACUCUAAGCCUAAUACAAUGACAUUUGCUUAAAUAUGGCAAAGAAGUUAAUAUUAGCAAAAAAAGCUACUUUCAAAAGCAAUAAAACGUUUGUUUGUUAUUUCGUUUGGCUGUCUGUGUCAUCUGUACAGUUAUAUGCUGCCAUACAAGGCUGGUAAAUUUGUUUUUGUUGUAUAUAUCUUCGA